UACGUAGGGUGCGAGCGUUAAUCGGAAUUACUGGGCGUAAAGAGUGCGUAGGCGGUCCCGCAAGUCCGCUGUGAAAGCCCCGGGCUUAACCUGGGAAUGGCAGUGGAAACUAUGGGACUUGAAUCUGGCAGAGGGGGGUGGAAUGCCACGUGUAGCAGUGAAAUGCGUAGAGAUGUGGCGGAACACCGAUGGCGAAGGCAGCCCCCUGGGCUGAGAUUGACGCUCAGGCACGAAAGCGUGGGGAGCAAACAGG
rnacentral:rRNA from 3 species